AUUGAACGCUGGCGGCAGGCCUAACACAUGCAAGUCGAGCGAGCGGCGGACGGGUGAGUAAUGUAUGGGGACUGCCCGAUAGAGGGGGAUAACUAGUGGAAAAGGUAGCUAAUAACGCGUACUAUCGAAUUCAUCAUAUGGGAUUCGCUUGUAGGUGAGGUAAUGGCUAAACUAGGCGACGAUCCCUAGCUGGCCUGAGAGGAUGAACAGCCACACGUGGACUGAGACACGGCCCAGACUCCUACGGAGGCAGCAGUGGGGAAUAUUGCACAAUGGGCGCAAGCCUGAUGCAGCCAUGACGCGUGUAUGAAGAAGGUCUUAGGGUUGUAAAGUAUUUUCAGUCGGGAGGCGGUACAGAAAGAAGAAGCACCGGCUAACUCCGUGCCAGCAGCCGCGGUAAUAC
rnacentral:rRNA from 1 species